GGCGGGUUCAGCCCCGACAACAAAAGCUGAUAAACUGCGCUUCCUCUCAGAUUCCAAACACUGACCCGGCGCAACAAGCAUGUGGCAGGGUCCCUGGUUCGUGGUGCUGCUUUUCAGCUGUAGAAGUGUGGCUCAGACCCUGACCCAGCCCCAGCUAUCGAUUACAACGUUUGCCGGGAAAAGCGAGCUUAUUCGGUGUCAAGUGAAAGGAGACUCCGUAAGCAGCAGUAAACCCCUUCACUGGUACCAACAGAAACCCGGAAAGCCGCUCCAAAGGAUACUCUACUAUGGGGAUAGUGUAACGCGGGAUUCGGAAUUCGGGCCAUCCUUCAAUGCCUUAAAGAUUUCAGAUUCCGAAGUGUACCUCAGAGUCGCGGUUAACACUGACAGCGCCGCCACCUAUUACUGCGCCUUUUGGGUUUACACAGUACGUAACAGAAAGCAAACAUCGCACAAAAAGCUCGACGAGCAGCCAGUCAAAUGGAACCGUUGA